AGCGAACGCUGGCGGCAGGCUUAACACAUGCAAGUCAAGCGGGCAUAGCAAUAUGUCAGCGGCAGACGGGUGAGUAACGCGUGGGAACGUACCUUUUGGUUCGGAACAACUGAGGGAAACUUCAGCUAAUACCGGAUAAGAACUUACGGGGAAAGAUUUAUCGCCGAAAGAUCGGCCCGCGUCUGAUUAGCUAGUUGGUGAGGUAAAGGCUCACCAAGGCGAAGAUAAGUAGCUGGUCUGAGAGGAUGAUCAGCCACAUUGGGACUGAGACACGGCCCAAACUCCUACGGGAGGCAGCAGUGGGGAAUAUUGGACAAUGGGCGCAAGCCUGAUCCAGCCAUGCCGCGUGAGUGAUGAAGGCCCUAGGGUUGUAAAGCUCUUUUGUGCGGGAAGAUAAUGACGGUACCGCAAGAAUAAGCCCCGGCUAACUUCGUGCCAGCAGCCGCCGUAA
rnacentral:rRNA from 1 species